UACGUAGGGGGCAAGCGUUAUCCGGAUUUACUGGGUGUAAAGGGAGCGCAGGCGGCAUUAUAAGUUAGUGGUAAAAUAUUGGGGCUUCACCUCACUACGCCAUUAAUACUGUAGGGCUAGAGAACAGACGAGGUAGGCGGAAUAAGUUAAGUAGCGGUGAAAUGCAUAGAUAUAACUUAGAACACCGAUAGCGAAGGCAGCUUACCAGACUGAGUCUGACGCUGAUGCACGAGAGCAUGGGUAGCGAACAGG
rnacentral:rRNA from 1 species